UUAUCACUAAUCAAGCCCGGCUUGCUGUUGGACCUUUUGUCGUAAAAAGACAGGCCCUAAAGAUAAUGACGGUGUCUUUUGACCCUAGAUACAACGAGCUUUAAUUAGCACGUAUCUAUAGUGGACUUUUGGACCCGGUCUUUUGUAACCAAUUUUUUCAGGUUGACCUCGGAUCAGGUAGGAAUACCCGCUGAACUUAA
rnacentral:misc_RNA from 1 species